rnacentral:pre_miRNA from 1 species
UCUUAUGGAUAAUCAAAGAAAGUAGUUUCUCAAGAUAGAAUCUACUCCUGGUAAAGAUCCUGUGAG